GUAACGGGUCCGGUGGAAAAAGCUUCCUCCCGGCGAGAGAGCCAUCUCCAAAGGGCGCCCCACCUGCUCGAGCUCCACACGGCGCCUUUAUGCCGGGGCCUCCGGGACCCUCACCCGCGCGCGGGCUUCCGGACACGUACCAACCCCACGGCGCGCGGGCUGCGGCCGGAGGGGGACCCUCCCGCCCUCGGAAUCCCAGCGGCGCAGGCCCGGGGCCCGCCCGCCCGCCCGCCCGCCGCAGGGCCUCGAGCGCGGGGAGCCCAGCGCGGGCGCGCCCACCGCACAGGCCCCGGGCGAGCCGGUACCCUCUAGGAGAAUCUUGUCUGAGAACAGGCGCAAAGCCUAUGCAAAUCUGAAGAAGAAUCGGAACACGCAGAUUCCGUGAACACCUACAUCCGAUAUACAACACCAGUGAUGGGAUCCAAGACAGCACACAUGGCUAAGCUCAUAUCGUCCAUUUUCUAAGGCGGAUCUCCAGACAUGUCGAUCUGUAACCUGUAACGAAACCCAAAUUUAUUAACUCGGAAUUAUGAGAACACAUUACUCCUAAAAGGCAUUCCUUAUAUGAUUCUGUCUUCAAUAUCCAAGAGAAAGUCUCUGAGCCGCAGCUCCAGCUGCCUCUCUGCAGACAUCUGUGAUGUGUCCCAUGCAUUGGAAGAUCGCCCCCGAGAAGAAAUAGGCUUGCUAUCAGCUUGAGGACCAGCUCCCUAGGCAUGGCACUUCUUGCAGUGAGAUGGGCCCUCUAACAUCAAUCAUCAAUCAAGAAGCCCUACAGACUUCCCGACAGGCCAACCCCAUGGAGGCAAGACUUUUUCUUCCCGGAUGACACUAACUUGUUGUAUCAGGCUGACAUGAAACUAGUCAUUACAUUGUAUCCAGACCAUACAAAGAACUCUUACAAUAAAGACAUCUAACACACAUAAAUAGAAACAGACAUAUAAUAGACACAAAAAGAUAAAUAAUCCAUUUACUGGGCAAAAUGGGCAAAUAUGUGCAGACAUUUCUUUAAAGGAAAAUAUACAAAUAGAUUCUCCCCAGUGAGGAUUCACACCCCUGAGGAUGGCUGAUAUAGAAUGUUUACCUUCAUACACCAUGGGUGGGAAAAUAAGUGUAGCUGCUUUGGGAAACAAAUUAGCAGUUCCCUGAGUGUUAAAGUUACCACAUGAUAAAGUAAUUUUACACCUGGGUUGCUUUCCCUCAAGUUGUUUUGUUACAAUAAUGCAAAGCUGAAUAAGGACAAGGAAUGAGAAGACCCUCUUACACUAUAGAUGGUUCCUCAUGAUCCAAACAACAUAAAGACAUUUUGUGAAUCUUGUCUGUAUAAAGAACUCUAUGCCCACACUAUGAUUUGCAAACUAAAAGCAGGUCAAAAUGAAACCUAACAUAUUUUAACAUAUAUGUAACAGUUUGAUAUAGAUUUAAUCCUCAAUGAUUAGGAAUAUAGGAAGAGAAACAGGAAAAAAAAAAAUCCCACAAUGAAAGCUGGGC